GACGAACGCUGGCGGCGUGCUUAACACAUGCAAGUCGAACGGAAAGGCCCUGCUUUUGUGGGGUGCUCGAGUGGCGAACGGGUGAGUAACACGUGAGUAACCUGCCCUUGACUUUGGGAUAACUUCAGGAAACUGGGGCUAAUACCGGAUAGGAGCUCCUGCUGCAUGGUGGGGGUUGGAAAGUUUCGGCGGUUGGGGAUGGACUCGCGGCUUAUCAGCUUGUUGGUGGGGUAGUGGCUUACCAAGGCUUUGACGGGUAGCCGGCCUGAGAAGGUGACCGGCCACAUUGAAACUAAAAUACGGACCAGACCACUCCGGGAGGCAACAAUGGCGAAUAUUGCACAAUGGGCGGAGGCCUGGUGCCACAACGCCGCGUGCUGGAUAGCGGCCUUAGGGUUGUAAACCGUUUUCGGCUGUGACAGAGCGUAAGUGACGGUAAUGGGUAAAGAAGCACCGGCUAACUACGUG
rnacentral:rRNA from 1 species